GGGGGGGGGGGGGGGGGUGGCUGGGGGGUGGGGGUCGGGCGGACGGACGAGAAGCGUGCUUCUCUGAUGGUAGCGGCGGACGGGUGAGUAACACGUGGAUAACCUACCUAUAAGACUGGGAUAACUUCGGGAAACCGGAGCUAAUACCGGAUAAUAUUUUGAACCGCAUGGUUCAAAAGUGAAAGACGGUCUUGCUGUCACUUAUAGAUGGAUCCGCGCUGCAUUAGCUAGUUGGUAAGGUAACGGCUUACCAAGGCAACGAUGCAUAGCCGACCUGAGAGGGUGAUCGGCCACACUGGAACUGAGACACGGUCCAGACUCCUACGGGAGGCAGCAGUAGGGAAUCUUCCGCAAUGGGCGAAAGCCUGACGGAGCAACGCCGCGUGAGUGAUGAAGGUCUUCGGAUCGUAAAACUCUGUUAUUAGGGAAGAACAUAUGUGUAAGUAACUGUGCACAUCUUGACGGUACCUAAUCAGAAAGCCACGGCUAACUACGUG
rnacentral:rRNA from 1 species